UACGUAGGGGGCAAGCGUUGUCCGGAAUCAUUGGGCGUAAAGAGCGUGUAGGCGGCCAGAAAAGUCCGCUGUGAAAUCUCGAGGCUCAACUUCGAGCUGUCGGUGGAAACUGUCUGGCUAGAGUCCGGAAGGGGCGAGUGGAAUUCCUGGUGUAGCGGUGAAAUGCGCAGAUAUCAGGAGGAACACCGAUGGCGAAGGCAGGUCUCUGGGCCACUACUGACGCUGAGAAGCGAAAGCAUGGGGAGCGAACAGG
rnacentral:rRNA from 1 species